rnacentral:rRNA from 1 species
AGAGUUUGAUCCUGGCUCAGGACGAACGCUGGCGACGUGCUUAACACAUGCAAGUCGAACGGAAAGGCCCUUCGGGGUACACGAGUGGCGAACGGGUGAGUAACACGUGGGUAAUCUGCCCUGCACAUCGGGAUAAGCCUGGGAAACUGGGUCUAAUACCGAAUAGGACCACAGGACACAUGUCCUGUGGUGGAAAGCUUUUGCGGUGUGGGAUGGGCCCGCGGCCUAUCAGCUUGUUGGUGGGGUGAUGGCCUACCAAGGCGACGACGGGUAGCCGGCCUGAGAGGGUGACCGGCCACACUGGGACUGAGAUACGGCCCAGACUCCUACGGGAGGCAGCAGUGGGGAAUAUUGCACAAUGGGCGCAAGCCUGAUGCAGCGACGCCGCGUGAGGGAUGACGGCCUUCGGGUUGUAAACCUCUUUCAGUGCCGACGAAGCGCAAGUGACGGUAGGCAUAGAAGAAGGACCGGCCAACUACGUGCCAGCAGCCGCGGUAAUACGUAGGGUCCGAGCGUUGUCCGGAAUUACUGGGCGUAAAGAGCUCGUAGGUGGUUUGUCGCGUUGUUCGUGAAAACUCACAGCUCAACUGUGGGCGUGCGGGCGAUACGGGCAGACUUGAGUACUGCAGGGGAGACUGGAAUUCCUGGUGUAGCGGUGGAAUGCGCAGAUAUCAGGAGGAACACCGGUGGCGAAGGCGGGUCUCUGGGCAGUAACUGACGCUGAGGAGCGAAAGCGUGGGGAGCGAACAGGAUUAGAUACCCUGGUAGUCC